GUGGACUUUUGUCUUGGGGCUCACAGUAUUUUACCCCCUUCAGGGAGGUGGCUGGUUGUAGUUUAGCAAAACAGCCACUGACAUCGCUGCUCCUUCAGCCUCUGCAGACAGAGCUGCAAGAUCCUCAAGGCCUUUUUAAUCCCCAGAAACAAGGUUCGCAGGAGGCCAGAGCCUUUGGUGGUGGGGAGCGGAGUCAGCAGGGGGAGGGGAGAGGCCCUUCGGAGAGACUGAGCCGCCAGGCCAUCGAGGGAACCUGGGCCAGGGAUGAGGCACUUCAGCCCUCGGAGCAGCUGCAACAGCAGAGUCUGACCUCCCAGCAAGGAGCUCUGGCGGCAGGUGUUAAAACAGACCAAAAUGUGUUCUCCCACCCAGAAGCAAGCAAAGCCAGCCCCAGCUGCGGUUCCCUGACAGUCCAGUGAAUUCAGCCAAAGGAAAUGGCCCCACAUGGAGGUGGGUGAGGCCCAUGGAGGAUGACUGUGGUGGGAAACUCAGCAGGCGGAAAUGUUCUCUUGGUUUCUGGGCAGGCUGGAGGUUUCCCAAGGGCCGGUGAAGUUUCAGCCCUAAUAGCUGCAGGAUUCUCUCAGGGCAAGUGACAGAAGACCUGAUGACUCCGGUGGCUCAGCGGAGAGUGCAUUAAUAGGCUUGACCACUUGUGCUCGAUCUUCAGGCAAGCUGGGUCUGACCCCUGGACACUGUCCCCUGGAGCACCUGGCCUCCACGUGUCCACCCACUGCCAUGGUCAUGGCUCCUCAGCAGGAGGAGGCCCAGCAGCCUCCAGGUGCCCCUGCCUGGUGCUAGCUGCCCACCGAAGCUCUAGCCUCACACUCUCAGGUUCAAAUCCAGUGACAAGAGCGGAUCCCACAAAGGCCACGAGAGUCACCCUAAACGGUCAGCUUAGGUCCUUCGUUCACUGAGCCCAUCGCUGUCCAGGGCAAGUGGUGCUGGCUG
rnacentral:lncRNA from 1 species